UGAGUACGAGACGCUAAGGCGUCGAAGUAGUGGAUGUCAUACUUCCAAGAAAAGCUUGCACUGUCAUAAAUAAAGAACGCCUGUACCAUAACCGACACAGGUGGGUAGGUAGAGUAUACUAAGGGGCGCGAGAUAACUCUCUCUAAGGAACUCGGCAAAAUAACUCCGUAACUUCGGGAGAAGGAGUGCCUUAUUCGUAAGGCUGCAAUAACAAGAUCCAAGCAACUGUUUAUCAAAAACACAGGUCUCCGCUAAGUCGUAAGACGAUGUAUGGGGGCUGACGCCUGCCCAGUGCCAGAAGGUUAAAGAAGUCGGUUAGCAUUAGCGAAGCUGGUAACUGAAGCCCUGGUGAACGGCGGCCGUAACAAUAACGGUCCUAAGGUAGCGAAAUUCCUUGUCGGGUAAGUUCCGACCCGCACGAAAGGCGUAAUGAUUUGGAUACUGUCUCGGAGAGGGGCUCGGUGAAAUAGACUUGUCUGUGAAGAUGCGGACUACCUGCACCAGGACAGAAAGACCCUAUGAAGCUUCACUGUAACUUGAAAUUGAAAUUGGACUUUAUUCGCGCAGUAUAGGUGGGAGGUGUUGAUUAUAAUCUUGCGGGAUUAUUGGAGCCAUCAGUGAGAUACCACUCUUGUAAUGUUAGAUUUCUAACUUUGAAUCAUUAUCUGGUCAAAGAACAGUUUCAGGCGGGCAGUUUGACUGGGGCGGUCGCCUCCUAAAUGGUAACGGAGGCGUACAAAGGUUUCCUCUGAACGGGUAGAAAUCGUAUCUAGAGUGUAAAGGCAUAAGGAAGCUUGACUGUGAGACCUACAAGUCGAGCAGGGACGAAAGUCGGUCUUAGUGAUCUGACGGUACUGAGUGGAAAGGCCGUCACUCAACGGAUAAAAGUUACUCUAAGGAUAACAGGCUGAUCUCCCCCAAGAGUUCACAUCGACGGGGAGGUUUGGCACCUCGAUGUCGGCUCAUCGCAUCCUGGGGCGGUAGUACGUCCCAAGGGUUGGGCUGUUCGCCCAUGAAAGCGGUACGCGAGCUGGGUUCAGAACGUCGUGAGACAGUUCGGUCCAUAUCCGGUGUAGGCGUUAGAAUAUUGAGAGGAGCCUUCUUUAGUACGAGAGGACCGAGAAGGACAUACCUCUGGUGUACCAGUUAUCGUGCCAACGGUAAACGCUGGGUAGCUAUGUAUGGAGUGGAUAACCGCUGAAAGCAUCUAAGUGGGAAGCCCACCUCAAGAUAAGUAUUCUCAGC
rnacentral:rRNA from 1 species